UACGAAGGGUGCAAACGUUGCUCGGAAUUAUUGGGCGUAAAGCGCACGUAGGCGGCAUCGCAAGUCGGAUGUGAAAUCCCUCGGCUUAACCAAGGAAGUGCAUCCGAAACUGCAGUGCUUGAGUACUUAAGAGGAUCGCGGAAUUCCCGGUGUAGAGGUGAAAUUCGUAGAUAUCGGGAGGAACACAAGUGGCGAAGGCGGCGAUCUGGGAAGAUACUGACGCUGAGGUGCGAAAGCGUAGGGAGCAAACAGG
rnacentral:rRNA from 1 species